UCGAACGAUGAUCCCAGCUUGCUGGGGGAUUAGUGGCGAACGGGUGAGUAACACGUGAGUAACCUGCCCUUGACUCUGGGAUAAGCCUGGGAAACCGGGUCUAAUACUGGAUAUGACCUUCUGGCGCAUGCCAUGUUGGUGGAAAGCUUUAUUGCGGUUUUGGAUGGACUCGCGGCCUAUCAGCUUGUUGGUGGGGUAAUGGCCUACCAAGGCGACGACGGGUAGCCGGCCUGAGAGGGUGGACGGCCACACUGGGACUGAGACACGGCCCAGACUCCUACGGGAGGCAGCAGUGGGGAAUAUUGCACAAUGGGCGCAAGCCUGAUGCAGCGACGCCGCGUGGGGGAUGAAGGCCUUCGGGUUGUAAACCUCUUUCAGUAGGGAAGAAGCGAAAGUGACGGUACCUGCAGAAGAAGCGCCGGCUAACUACGUGCCAGCAGCCGCGGUAAUACGUAGGGCGCAAGCGUUAUCCGGAAUUAUUGGGCGUAAAGAGCUCGUAGGCGGUUUGUCGCGUCUGCCGUGAAAGUCCGGGGCUUAACUCCGGAUCUGCGGUGGGUACGGGCAGACUAGAGUGAUGUAGGGGAGACUGGAAUUCCUGGUGUAGCGGUGAAAUGCGCAGAUAUCAGGAGGAACACCGAUGGCGAAGGCAGGUCUCUGGGCAUUAACUGACGCUGAGGAGCGAAAGCAUGGGGAGCGAACAGGAUUAGAUACCCUGGUAGUCCAUGCCGUAAACGUUGGGCACUAGGUGUGGGGGACAUUCCACGUUUUCCGCGCCGUAGCUAACGCAUUAAGUGCCCCGCCUGGGGAGUACGGCCGCAAGGCUAAAACUCAAAG
rnacentral:rRNA from 1 species